rnacentral:tRNA from 1 species
GAUGAGAUGGCCGAGUGUAGGCGUUAAACUGUAAAUUUAAUUACGAAGGUUAACUUCUCUCAUCA